AACGAACGCUGGCGGCGCGCCUAAUACAUGCAAGUCGAGCGAGAAGACGUAGCAAUACGUUUGUAAAGCGGCGAACGGGUGAGGAAUACAUGGGUAACCUACCCUCGAGUGGGGAAUAACUAGCCGAAAGGUUAGCUAAUACCGCGUACGCUCCUUGGACUUCGGUUCAGGGAGGAAAGCGAUACCGUGGGUAUCGCGCUCUUGGAUGGGCUCAUGUCCUAUCAGCUUGUUGGUGAGGUAACGGCUCACCAAGGCUUCGACGGGUAGCUGGUCUGAGAGGACGAUCAGCCACACUGGCACUGCGACACGGGCCAGACUCCUACGGGAGGCAGCAGUAAGGAAUAUUGCGCAAUGGGCGAAAGCCUGACGCAGCGACGCCGCGUGGGGGAUGAAGGUCUUCGGAUUGUAAACCCCUUUCGGGUA
rnacentral:rRNA from 1 species